rnacentral:rRNA from 1 species
UGUGUAGGCGGAAUUGUAAGUACCUUGUGAAAUCCCACGGCUCAACCGUGGAACUGCUCGGUAUACUGCUUUUCUUGAGCCACUUAGGGGCUGUCGGAACAAACGGUGGAGCGGUGAAAUGCGUAGAUAUCGUUUGGAACGCCAAAGGUGAAAACAGACAGCUGGGAGUGUGCUGACGCUGAGACACGAAAGCCAGGGGAGCGAACGGGAUUAGAUACCCCGGUAGUCCUGGCCCUAAACGAUGUCGACUAGAUCGUGGUGGCUCUGACGCCAUCACGGUCGAAGCAAAAGUGCUAAGUCGACCGCCUGGGAAGUACGGUCGCAAGGCUAAA